GUUGCCUGUAUAAACAGAGCAGUUCGCUGCUGGCAGGCCAGGCAGAAACAUCGCCUGACUACAAGGCUGAAUGCAACAUCCUGAAGAGCUUCUGGCGCCAAAACGGGUCGAAACACCUCCAAAACAAAACGGCUGCUGAAGCUUUGCACAGCCCUAUUUAGUACGUGUCAAAGGGAAAGUGGAAACUGCAUGUUGGAAUGAUGCCUCUUCUUAUAGAAAUUGAUGAACCACCUUAUUGGUGAAACACUGGAACAAAUCAACAGCAGACUUGCAGAACUAACCAAGAGGAUACAGAACCACUCAGAGAUGUAAUAGCCAUUUUCCAGGAGCAGAGCUCUACAUUCAUCCAUGAAGCCUUCACUUCUUCAAGAAGAAGCAAGGUUAGAGAGUUUUGCUUCCAUGAUCCAACAACCUUCUAAUUCAUUAUACUAUAAUCAACUUAUCCAACAGCACUCUCAGAUUAACUGAAGUGUCUUCACUAUUCCAUUUUCUUUCUUUCUACCCUGCAAUACAAGAAGCCAAGAAAGAACUUUCCAACAGUAUUUUACAAACUCCUGACAGGACUACACAGCACAACCAGGGGGAACUAGAUAAACUCCUCAAGGAUUUCUUCUGGAAAUACAGGAGAUAAUUACUCUUUUCAUCUCCCAGGAACUUAGACCAGGCAGCUUUACUUAUUAGUUAUUACCCAAGAUCCACAAACCUGGUAACCAAGGACACCCCAUUGUGUCUGGCAUUGACACUAUCAUCGAAGGUGUUUCUGGCUAUAUUGACUUGAGUCUAUUCCCUCAUAUUCCCAUCUGCCACUGGAGGUUCCAUCUAUUUGGAAGAUGCCACAGAUUUCUUAAAGAAACUGAACUCCAUUGAAAAACUUCUAGCAAACACCAUAUUAGCUACCAUGGAUGUAAUAUCUCUACCCACCAACAUUACCUGGAUUACAAAACAGAUUACAAGCCCUAAAGACCAUUAUUCCAAUGAGGAAACUGCUUCUGUUUCCAUUGCACUCUCUUGUUUUGUCUAUACACAACUAUUUCAGAUUUGGGGAUUCGCUAUACCUACAAAUGGGAAGUAAUGUCACAGGCAUACAUAUGACCCCCCAGUAUGCCAACAUAUAUAUGAUAGAUCUUGAUGUCUGUUUCCUCUGCAGCUACCCUCUCAUUCUCCUGGUAUAUCACAGGUACAUUGUUGAUAUCUUUAUAAUAUGGAUGCACAAGAGGGACUUUCUAGAGAAACUUCAUCACAGCUUCAACAACAUCCAUCCCUCCAUCAAACUAACUCUGAAAUACUCUACCCAGCAGAUUCAUUUCUUAGACACCAGGGUUAAGGUUUGCAAUGGCCAGAUCACUGCCACAUCACUACCAUAUUGCAACUGAAACCAAGCAACCACCACAGCUGCCUUCACAACACCAGCUUUUGCCCUAGGCAUGCCACUAGAUCCAUUGUCUACAGCCAAGCUCUACCUUACAACCAUUUCUACUCUGAUUUCAUCAACCAAGAUGAACAUCUUAAUACAAUUCCAAAACUUCAGCCAGUCAAAUCACCAAAACCAGACUUAGACCUUGCUCCAACUUGCGAACGUAGCAACCCCAUGACAAGAACAACACCAUCCCCUCUGUUCAUUACCUACAGCCCUCAGCAUGAGCACCUUAUACACAUCAGUAAUGACCUCCAACCCCUCCUGGAAAUGGAUAACUAUCUCAAGGCAGCCAUGGGGGGACAACACCUAUCCUGGAUUACCAACAGUAUCCUGAUCUAAAACAGCAUAACUCAAGCAACAGAUUAACUAACUCCCAUCCUCAUCAAGGCACCAGGACCCAAAUGCUUUCUAUGCACCCACAUCAAUACACACUAUGUCAUCACUGGAACAAACAACAAGGAGUAUAAUAUCUCAGGUUCAUUUCCCUGAAACUGUAUUAACAUCAUAUAUGCCAUCAUCUGUUUACAGUGUCGCAUUACUAUCCACAUUGGACAGACAGGGCAAUCUCUACAUGUGAGAGUGAAUGAAUACCAUCUAAUAUCAGCUGCAGAAAGAAACAAAGACCUGUGGCAGAAUCAUUUAACUUCCCUGGACAUUUCAUUGCUGAAUUUAGGAUUGCUGUUCUCGGGCAGCAAAAUUUUAAAAAUCAGUUUCAACCAGAAAUUGUGGAACAAGAGAUCAUCAACAGACUGGAAUGUGUUGAGUAUGGUUUAAAUGGGGACUAUGGAUUCUUGUCCCAUUACCUGCAUUAGCUUUUAUGACUCCUUUGUCCCUAUGGUUCCUCUUGUUUGCCUCUCCCAGUGCUGUGCCCCCCUCCCCUUCCUUUCCCUUCUCCCUUCCCAUCGUUUAUAUUCAGAUCAUUCCACUUUAUACACUACUCUAUAUUUGUCCUUUCACAGCAUCUGAUGAAGCGAGCUUGAGUUAACGAAAGCUUAUGCUCUCUAUAUAUCUUUAGUUAGUCUAUAAAGGUGCCUAUCUAUCCUGUCUUCUACUUGUAGAACUUGCCAUACAUAAUCAAAGUGUCAAAUUGUAGGAUGUCUGUCAAAGUUGGAUAAAACUCACCCAACAUAGAGAUCCAACAGGGCACUUACACCAAAUGUGGAAACAUUUCCAUUUGUUUCUCCCCAGUAGAGAGAUUUCAAAGGGGCAGAAUAAGAAAUGGAACUCAUUAGCCCAGGUGUCAUGCCAGAUUAUGGUGGGUAUGCCAGUUCCACAGUUAGCACAUGCAGAGCUAGCAUGGGGUAUUUCUGUGCAGAAUUGCCUUGUACCUUAUAGACAUGCCCUGUAAUUUCAUUUAACUUCAGGACUUUUCCUGACUUACAUCAGCACAAGUGAUAUGUAAGUCAGCCUCAUAAAGAUCAGCUUCAUAGUGGAGACCCUAGGUUUUAUGUAAGACAGAACUCUAACAGACCAUGCACAAGUAAAUGCUUGUAAAAACUCCACGUUUGUGCAGACAUUAAGGGGUGUCUGUUUACAUGAUAAAAUUUUACUUAGCACCCUUUUUCUGAAAAUUUAGCACUAUUUUAACCAUUCAUACCUUAUUCAGUGUUAUAUUUCCAGUUUAGGCACCUGAAAAAAGAUAUUUUUUUAAAGCAGGAAGAACGGUGAAACACAAGGAGUGUUUGGUGGGGGGGUGGAGGACUCGGAAGGAGGGAUCGAUUGAAGUCAUCAAGUCUCUGACAAGACAAUAAUAUGCUAAUAGGUGCUUGAGAACUUGAUUGAUGAUGGAAGAGGUCAAAUAAAAGUAGAUUAUCACAGGCAGUCAGUUCAGAAGGAAGCUGAAAAUAGUGAAACAACCCAAGCAGAGAAAUUCCCUUCAGGCUCUGCAGAAAUAAAUAUUGAUAAAAAUAAAAAUUUUAAAGGAACUGCCAGGAAAACUUCUUUGUCUCUGCCUGAGUUCUCUGGCCUCAGAAUUUGCUGGGUGGAAUCAUAAGAGUCAGAGGACUUUGUACUAAGAUGACUGUAGUAAAAUUCUUGGUGUCAGAGAAAGAAGAAAUGGAGUCACACAGGUUAAAAAAGGGAAGCCAAAUCAAAUAACAUUAUUACAUUUUUUACCAAAAAUAAUUUUAGACAUUUGAUUUUUUUUUAAACAGUUUUUGUUUUUCAUUUGAAAAGCUGAACUUUUUAUGGUAAAUGUAGAAAUUUGACCUAUACUUCUCAUUAAAUUGAUUAGCCUUUUUGACCACUUUUAGUAAAUAUAACCAGGAGAUCUCUCCCAGGGCAUUUGGGAGUUGUGCCACUCUGUUAAAUCUGAUAGUGGGCUUACUUUUGCUUUAUAUAAUGUACAAUGUACUAUGCAACAUUUACACAUGAAUUGUGGUAACACUGCAAACUAAUUCUUGCAUCUGUGGUAUCUGAAAGUAAUAAAAAGUGCUCUCUCUCUCUCUCUCACACUCACACACAGAUUUAAGGGCAAAUCCUUUUCGCAGUGCACAGAAGAAAAAAUGCUAUUCACCGGGGAGAUUGCCAAGGGCUGAGGUAUAGCACAUGGAAUCUUGUACCUAGGGUGCAGAGUGACAAAUGUCCUGUACAAUUACUACUAUAGCAUUAGAACGGCUCUGUGUAUCUAUUCUCUGCUUGAGAUUUGGUCAGUGUUUCAAUAGUCAGAUUCAUCAGCCCUGCCCUCAUAUUUGCCUUACCCAAGUAGCACAACUGGUCUCACAUAGAAGUACAUUCAGCAUUUUACUGGGUGUAUGAACUAAUGCUGUCCUUCCCCAACACUCUUGCUUAUUAGGCAAUAAGGUUUUCCCCUCAGUGCCAGUUUUAAACUCUUAUAUAGGGUUUAUGACACUGCUAAACAUGUAGUAUAUUCCACCCAAGAGAUGUGGGUCUUUCAGUGAGCGGGAAAUAAUCUGUUUAUAUUUACAGGCUGCUCAUGUGCCAAAAAUAUCACAAAAAUGAAGGGCAGUUUUCACAGGCAGUAAGCCUGUCAGUUGGGUGUAUUAAUAAUCACAAGGCUAAAACUGGUGGUUUCACACAAUUCUUUUUGGUCUUAUGUUGUUUUGUAACCACUGAUAAGCCAUGAAAGUGCAUAUUCUGCCUUUCUGCUAGUUGCAAGGCUCUUUAGCUGAGGUUAGCUAAUUGGCUGGUACCCCACUCUAUGCCUGGUCUUGUAUGCACAACAUACAUGCCCCCAUGUAGCUGAAACUUGAACCAGAAUCUUUAUUUGCAAGCAGUAAUUCUAGCAGCUGAGCAACUAUCCCUGAGCUAGCUGUGCUAAGCUUUCCUCAGUUGGAAGUGGUUUUUAUGUUAUAUAUCAUUCUACAGAUCUAUACACUAUAGCUCUUUAAAGAACAGAGAUCUGCCUUAACUUGUAAUCAUUUUCUUUGAACUCACAUGCUGUGAGAAAUGCCAAUAAAACCAGCAGAGGCUAUUUCGUACCAGGGAAGUUGGUUGAAUAGGAAUGUGACUUUGAACAGAAGACUUAUAGGUCUCAAAAGCAAAAGGUGAGGAGGUUGGGGUAAAGAGGCAUUUGCUAUAGUUCAAGGAGUUAAAAGAGAAUUGCUCUUACCCAAAUUACUGUUAAAAUGAAAUGUGUAACCACUGUCUUUCCGUGGUUUACAUUCAAAUCACUGAUGUAACAGCACCUAUGUGGCUGUCAGUGUAAGCAGUUCAAUUCUCAAGGAAGUAAUAAUAAAAAGUCCUUUUUUGAAAUUAAACCCAGAAUAUUUUCCUAAGCUGUGUGGAAUGAUGUAAAAGGCUGCCACCAAACACUCUUGUACAAUAGGAAGGAGGGGAAUAGUUUCUAAAAGAUCAGGAUCUUUGUUUUCAUCUCUCUCUCCCAACCCCUCUGCCCCUAUUGGUCCUGAAUCAACACAUUGCAUCUCAACCUCAUUCACCUUUGAAAGGAUUCUAAGUCUGCAUUCAGAUCUGUAUUUUGCAACUCCAAUCCAUCUUAAUAUAUGGAUGUAUAUAUUUACAGUAGAGCUCUACAUAGCUGUUGUUUUCACAUGAGCAACAACUCUUAGCAGGCUGACAAUUUAAUGAGACAUUCUGCAUUUUACCUAAGGCAUUCUCACCAGUAGGAAAUCCUGUUAGAUUUACAAGUGUCCAUCUGUUAAAAUUCUCUAGAGUCAUUUUAGAUGCUAUACUGUUUGUUGGGUUUUGACCUCCUUUGCUGCAAUUGUUCAAUUAGUUCUGUUGUGUUCAGAGCACACUUGCACUGUGUAUUUUUUAGAAAGCACAGUAGGAAAGGAACAGCAUUUUCAAAGCUUACUGUUAAUGGUGAUUUAAAAUAUGAUCCACUAUCUGGCUGGUUUUUUUGCCAAUGGAACACAAGCUGAAAUGUGAUUCACACCAGCCUGUCCUUUCCUAAGUGCAGUAGUUGUCCAAUGCUGAGUUUGGACUCUUGGGUUAAACCCCUUUUUGUCCUGUUAAUGCAUCUGAAAGUAAAUACAAUCAAGUGGCUCUUGAAGGGGAUUAAGUUAUCAAGACUUUUUUAAAUUUUAUUCCUACUCCUGCAAAUGAGUCCAUGUACCCAUGGGUAAGCACCUUCUUAUUUUUUUCUGUGAGUCAAACCCAUCUGUAAAUGGACAUCACACUUACUUACUGCACAGUAGUGUUGUCAGAAUUAAUGUUUACACAUCGAAGUAGUACUUCAAAACCUUUGAAUGAAAGGAAGUAUCAAAAACCCUCUUCUUUUUUUUAAAUCUGGGUUUAUCAUUCACUAUUGCCUUCACUUGCAUUUUCCUCCCUCAAAAAUGACAAAGCAAAUUUGACCUCUGCUGCUUGGAAUAAAAUAUAAAGUUGUUCCUUGGAAGGAAGAGAAGGGUGGAUCAGUGCUUCUUAUGUGCACACUUCAUAAAUAGUUUUGGAAGAGGCACUUAAAUAUCUUUGAUGUGGUACUGGUACCAUUGUUGUGGUACAUACCAGGAUGGCUAAACUUUAUUUUGUGCAAAGUUCUCUACACAGCUCUCUCUCACAAACAGCCCAAGGUCAAACACUGCAAUGCACCUGUGUAUUCAGUAAAUAAGAUGCAUCUCCCCUGUAUAUUCAGUAUACAUAUAAGAAAGUAUACGGAGGGACAAAAUUGCAUCAUGAAGUAAUAAGUUUCCC